rnacentral:lncRNA from 1 species
GUCAUUACCGAUGCCUUUAUUACUAUUAUUUAAUAGAUCUUGUUAAUUAUUAUUAUUCAUUGGCUUUAAAAGGAACGUUUCCAUAGCAACGGGAAGAUGGAUGCUGCUUUUCAGGAGCUCCAAGUGGACCCAUCUGGGAUCCCCCCGGGUGGUGCUGGUGGUGCUGGUGAUGCUGGUGAUGCUGGUGGUGCUGGUGAUGCUGGUGGUGCUGGUGAUGCUGGUGAUGCUGGUGAUGCUGGUGAUGCUGGUGGUGCUGGUGAUGCUGGUGAUGGUGACGGCACCAGCGGUGCCACCGUGUGGACCUGACGGUGUCCAGGAGCCGCUUUGGGAUGCGGAUGUAGCUUCAAACCAUGCAGAGCCCUCUACCAUCGGUCUACUAUUGAUCAACUGUUGGUCAACCAUUGGCAACCAUUGGUCAACUGUUGUUCUACUGUUGGACAAAUGUUGGCCAACCAUUGCUCAGCCGGGACCCCCAGCUCCUUCCCCACAGACCCCCCCUCCAGCAGCUC